rnacentral:tRNA from 1 species
GUCCCUAUAGCUCAAGUGGAUAGAGCGGCCGUUUCCUAAACGGCAUAUCCGUGUUCGACUCACGGUGGGGACA